rnacentral:rRNA from 1 species
AUAACUCAUGACAAUAGAUAUCUUGGCUCUUACAUCGAUGAAAAACAUAGUGAAAUGCGAUGCUUGGUGUGAAUUGUAGAAUCCUAUAAACCAUCGAGUCUUUGAAUGCAAGUUGCAUCCUAAACCAUUAGGCUAAGGGCACGCCUACCUAGGUGUCAUACAUCAUUGGGCUUUUUGAAACCCUCACCCAUCAGCUAUGGGUGAGAGGACAAAAGAUGGCAUUUAGUGAUCUGGUCAGUCGUGGUUGUCUUAAAAGUGAGUCCUCGACAAUGAUAGCAUCAUGACUAUUAAUAGUCAAGCUCUCGACAUGCCUCAUCUUUGGUGACAAGUGGUCAUUAUCCAUCCAAACCCUAUCGGACCCCCUGCAUCACUAGGUUGAUGCUCACAUCGUGACCCUAGGUCAGGCUAGAUUACCCUUUGAGUUUAAGCAUAUCAAUAAGUGGAGGAAAAUAAACUUACGAAGAUGCCCCUAGUAACAACGAGCAAAUUGAGAAAAGUCUAGCUUGAGAAUCAAGCACCCCUUACAUCCAAAUUGUAGUCUAGAGAAGUAUUCUCAAUGAAAAAGUGGCCCAAGUCCCCUAAAAAAGGGUUUCAGAAAGGGUGAGAGCCUUGUUGUGCCCAGACCCUAUCGCACCACAAAAUAGUGUCUGCGUCUAGGGUUGUUUGGGAAUGUAGCCCCAAUCAGGUAGUAAUUUCCAUCCAAGGCUAAAUACGAGUGAGAGGCUAAUAGUGAACAAUUACCACAGGGGAAAUAUGAAAAAGAUUUUGAAAAGAAAAUCAAAGAGUGCUUGAAAUUGUUGGGAGGAAAGUGCAUGGGGGCCGAUAAUAUGCCCCAAUCGAUGUGGAAUGGUGAGAGCUGAUCUAUUGAUUAGCUUGGGGCAUGGAUAAAUGAGGGUCAUUAUGAUGGUCCAAGCCCGAGCUUUUGAUAUGCCCAUGGAGACAUCAUCGCCAUAAUUAUGGAAUGCAGUACACUUUGUCUUAGAGUGCCUCAGCACCUGUGUGCUCUUGACAUCGGCCUACAGGCUCCCCAUCUGACCUAUCUUAACACACAGACCAAAAAGUCUAACAUGUGUGUGAGUCAAUAGGCUAGAAAACCGAUAAGGCAUAAGGAAGUUGAUUAGUCUAAUCCCUCAUGAGUGCACCAUUGACCAACCUUGAUCUUUUGAGAAGGGUUCGAGUGUGAGCAUGCCUAUCGGGAUCCGAAAGAAGGUGAACUAUGCCUGAGCAUGGUGAAUCUAGAGGAAACUCUAGUGGAGGUUUGCAGCGAUACUGAUGCGCAAAUCAUUCAUCUAAUUUAGGUAUGGGGGUAAAAGACUAAUCAAAUUAUUUAGUAGUUAGUUCCCUCUUAAGUUUCCCUUAGGAUAGUUGGAGCCUUUGGUGAGUUUUAUCGGGUAAAACCAAUGAUUAGAGGCAUCAGAGGCACAGUGCCCUUGACCUAUUCUCAAUUUUUAAAUAAGAGGAUGGCACAACUACUUCGUUGAGCCACGCCAUAAAAUCAAGAGCUCCAAGUGGGCUAUUUUUGGUAUGUAAAACUGAUGAUGCAAGAUAAAUCGAAAAGCUGGGUUAUGGUGCCUAACUGCACGUUAUCCUAGAAUCAAUAAAGGGUGUUAGUCGAUUAAGAUAACAAGAUGGUGCUCAUGGAAGUUGAAAUCUGCUAAAUAGUGUGUCAUAACUCACCUGUCAAAUUAACUAGCCCUAAAAAUGGAUGGCACUUAAGUGUACAACCUAUACCCGACCCUCAGGGUAAGGGCAUCGAUGAGUAGGAAGGCACAGUGGCCACUGUAACUUUUGGGGUGCGAGACUAAGCGGAGUAGCUAUUGAUGCAGAUCUUGGUGGUAGCAGCAAAUAUUCAAAUAAGAACUUUAAAGGUCGAAAAGGUGAAAGCUUCCUUGUGAAUGAAACUUACACAUGGGUUAGUCAAUCCUAAGAGAUGGGGGAAGCUCAUUCGAUAGCACAUUUGACAUGAGCUUCAAAAAGGGAUCAAGUUAAAAUUCUUGAAUUGGGAUGUGAUGGUUGACGACAAUGUUAGGGGGUUCGAAGACAUUAGUGGGGGCAUUAAGAAGAGUUAUCUUUUCUAUUUAACAGCUUAUCCACCUUGGAAACAACUCAACCAAAGGUAGAGUCCAGUACCUUGAAGAGCAUUGAACGUUAAGUGGUGUCCACUACACCCCCAGUGGCACUUGAAAAUCUAGAGGAUCAAGAGCUGUCCAUGCCCAAUCGUACUCGUAAUCGCAUUAGGUCUCCAAGGUAAACAACCUCUUGUUGAAUGAACAAUGUGGGCAAGGGAAGUUGGCGAAAUGGAUUCAUAACCUCAAAAAAAAGAUUGGCUUUGAGGGCUGGGCACAAGGGUCCCAGUCCCAAACCCAUCAGUAAUUGAUGCACUGCUUGAGCUACUUCCAAGAUGAGAAUGGGUCACUGUAUGCUGGUCAAGGGAUAGACUGAGAAUGGUUCCCUCAAGUGAUAAACAGUCGACUCAAAACUAGUAUAAAUAAGGGGAAUCUAACUAUUUAAAUAAAACAAAGCAUUGUGAUAGUCCUUAUGGAUGCUCACGAAUGUGAUUUUUGCCCAGUGCUCUGAAUGUCAAAGUGAAGAAAUUCAACCAAGCACGAGCAAAUAGUAGGAGUAACUAUGACUUUCUUAAGGUAGCUAGGUGCCUUGUCAUAAAAUUAGUGAUGUGCAUGAAUGGAUUAAUGAGAUUCCCACUAUCUUUGUUUACUAUCCAGUGACACCAUACCCAAGGGAAUAUGCAUGGUGGGAUCAAUAGGGAAAGAAGACCCUAUUUAGCUUGACUAUAGUUUAACUUUGUGAAAUGACUUGAGAGGUGUAGGAUAAAUUGGAGCCCUCAAGUGAAAUUGAAAUACCACUACUUUUAAUGUUAUUUUACUUAUUCUAUGAAUCAAAAGCAGGGCACGACCCUUUCUUUUGGACCCAAGGUCAGCCUCGAUUGGUUGAUUUGGGUAGAAGACAUUGUCAGGUGGGAAAUUUGGCUACGUGACACAUUUAUUAAAAGAUAACAUAGGUGUCCUAAAAUGAGCUCAUAGAAUAGAAAUUUUUUAUGGAACAAAAGGGUAAAAGCUCAUUUGGUUUUGAUUUCUAGUAUGAAUACAAACCAUGAAAGCAUGGCCUAUUAAUCCUUUAGACCUUCAAAAUUUGAAGCUAGAGGUGUCAAAAGAGUUACCACAAGGAUAACUAGCUUUUGGCAUCUAAGCAUUCAUAGCAAUGUUGCUUUUUGAUCCUUCGAUGUCGGCUUUUCCUAUCAUUACAAAGCAAAAUUCACCAAUUUUUGGAUUAUUCACCCUCUAAUUAGGAAUGGUAGCUGGGUUAAGACAUCAUGAGACAAGUUAGUUUUACCCUAUCAAUGGCAGCAUCGCAAUAGUAAUUAAACCUAGUACAAGAGGAAUUUUUGAUUUGGAUAAUUGGUCAUAGCGCUGGGUUGAAAAGCCAGUGGCGUAAAGCUACUGUGUGUUGGAUUAUGAUUAAACACCUCUAUGUCAAAAUCUAAGUUAGAAGUGAUGCAUGCGCCUACUGCUCGACUGUCGACCCAUAAAGCCAUGUGUCGUAGGUGUACCCCCAAUGGCAGACAAGUCGCACAAGCCUCGUUAGAGUUUAAUUCCCACUGAG